rnacentral:rRNA from 1 species
GCAGCUCAGCAGAGAACCGAGCACUAACAUUUAGCGACAUCUCCGGCUCUAGCAGCUCAGUCCUCACUCACUGAGAAAAUGGCAGUGGAGAUCCUCGAGUCGUGCAUGGUGACGCCAAGCGAGGCGACGCCGAAGCACGGGGUGUGGCUCUCCAACCUCGACCUGCUGGUCGCCAGGGGCCACACGCCCACCGUCUACAUCUACCGGCCAAGCUCCGGCCAUGCCUCCUUCUCGCCGGUCGUCCUCAAAGCCGCGCUGUCCAGGGCGCUCGUCCCAUUCUACCCACUUGCCGGCCGGCUCGCGCAGGAUGACGCCGGCCGCCCGGAGAUCAGCUGCAGCGGCGAAGGGGUCCUCUUCGUCACUGCGCGGGCGGACUCCACGCUCGACGUCCUCGGUGACUUCGCCCCGUCCGAGGAGCUGCGGCGGACGCUUGUCCCCUCGGCCGACGCCAGCGGCGUCGCCGGCAUCUUGGCUAUGUUUCAGGUGACGUUCUUCAAGUGCGGCGGGGUGUGCCUCGGGGCGGCCAUCCACCACACGGCGGCGGACGGCCUCGCAGCGCUCGAUUUCGUGAACGCCUGGGCAGCCAUCACGAGGGGCGACGUCGGCGUGCCCGCGGCGAGCCCCUGCCUCGACCGCACGCUCCUCCGCGUGCGCUCCCCUCCCUCCGUGCUCUUCGACCACGCCGAGUACUCCCGGCGCGGCGGCGGGGAGACGAAGCCCAGAGCAAGGUUUUGAGUCCCUUUCGGCUCCGCCAUCCUCCCCAUGUCCAAGAACCAGAUCGACGCGCUCAAAGGCGGCGCCGGCGAGGGCAAGAGGCUCUCCACGUUCAAGGCCGUGGUGGCCCACGUGUGGCGGUGCGCGUGCAAGGCGCGCUGGCUCGCGGCGACGGAGGACACCCGACUGUACAUGACGGCUGACGCGCGCACCCGCGUCCACCCACCGCUCCCUCGCGGCUACUUCGGCAACGCCAUCUUCCGCGCUUCGGCGGCGACCAAGGUCGGCGAGGUCGCCUCCGGGCCGCUGGACGCCGUCGCGGAGAAGGUCACCGGCUCGACCGCCCGGCUGGACGACGAGUACGUGCGGUCGCUGCUGGACGGUGCAGGCGCGGACGCGUCGGGGCUGCGCAAGGGGGAGUGGGUCAUGCCGGAGACCGACCUGUGGGUGAUAAGCUGGCAGGGGCUGCCGAUCUACGGCGCGGACUUCGGCUGGGGGCGGCCGGCGUUCAUGGGCAGGGCCUGCCUCCAGUUCAGCGGCCUCGUGUACCUCGUGCCUGGCCCUGACGACGACGGCCGGCUGGACGUGGUGGUGGCCAUGGAGCCCGAGAGCCUGGCCAGGUUCAGGGAGGUGUUCUACCAGGAGCUCAUGCACUACUAG